ensembl:lncRNA
AUGCUGUUGCCAUGCUACACGGCUGACACAAGAUGCCUGCUGCCAGGCCCCGCGCCACCAGGGAGCAUGCUGGGAUACGGGCGGGUUCUCGGCCCAGCUUUCAUGUGCACAGCUGCUCACCUUAUAGCCGGCAGUACACCCACGGCCCGUCUGCAGGCUCCCGCCGGACGCUCAAACACACAGGUACUGAACAUCAUGCAUUAUUCAGCAGGUCAGAGGAGAGACCAGCAUCCAUCGCUCUCUCUGUCUCUCAGGUGCAGUGAGUCUAUAGGUGGGCUGCAGUAAUCACGCAUAACCUGUGCCAGAGCUGCUUUUUGUAUGUAUGUUAUAUAUGUGGCCAGGGACCACAAAAUAAGUCAUAUUUUUUUGCAAUUGAUGUUUAUACAUAAUCUGUAAGCUGGAUAAAUAAGCGUUCUAUUGAUUUAUGGUUUGUUAGGAUAGGACUAUAUUUGGCUGAGAUACAACUAUUUGAAAAUCAGGAAGAACUUAAUUGCAUUUUAAAUGCAUUUUAAUAUUUGCCAGAAAUGUAAAUGAAAGAUUGAAAAGAAAAAAUUUAAUAUAUAUAUGUAUAUAUAUAUAUAUAUAUAUAUAUAUAUAUAUAUAUAUAUAUAUAUAUAUAUAUAUAUAUAUAUAUAUAUAUAUAUUAUUUAUUUAAAUAUAAUACAUAUACAUUUUACCAGAUGUAAAAUACAUUUAAAAAUACAUUUAACAAUUUUUUUAAUUAAACAAUAUGCAUAGAGUUCAUUUCUGACUGUUUGUUAGCCAACUAGAUAGAAUUAUUUUGGUGAGAAAUCAACAGAAUUUGCAAUAACAAUGUAGAAUGCAUUACAAAAUAGCAAAAUAGCAAUAUGUAUUUUUUUUUUUUGUUUUUUUUUUGUCGACUGGCCUGAAGCUCUUUCACGCUGAAUCAGUACAUCACCCUUAUUAAUGCACUCUGAUACUGAAGCAUUAGCUCAAUAUUCUGAGGGAAUUGUUACAUUUUAAACUGGCCUGUAAAGUGAAAUGAAUCUCAAUGUAACCGUUUUUUUUUUUUCCUCUCUUAUUCUUUCAGUAAAUAAUUACCGUACGUGUGAUGAGGUAAAGCUGAUCUAUCAGUUAGUUCUUGUACUUCAGAUCUAUUAUGCUUCUUCAUGCUUUUUCUAAAAUAAAUAAAUAAAUAAAUAAAUAAAUAAAUAAAUAAAUAAAUAAAUAAAUAAAUAAAUUGCAAACUUUGCAACAUGAUGCAAGAGUUGUUACUACGGCUUUUCUGUGUGUUUUUUUUUUCCUUCAUCAGAUCACGAGGAGCUCUAGUACUGGUGAUGAUUGACUUCAACUCAUUACAAAAACCUAUUGUGGAACUAAUUGUCACAAACUCCUCCUGUAUCAUUGCGCAAGGGUGUGUGGGUAUUAUUUGCAUAAAAAUUCAGAAUUUGACAAUGCACUACUAAUAAUAUAAUAUCUGAGAAACGUUAUCUCUGUUUGGG